CGGGAUGUAGCUCAGCUUGGUAGAGCGUCCGCUUUGGGAGCGGAAGGUCGCAGGUUCAAAUCCUGUCAUCCCGAC
rnacentral:tRNA from 2 species